AAGUCAACAAGGUUUCCUUAGGUGAACCUGCGAAGGAUCAUUAACACGUAUCCAACGUUAAACCCCUGUGAAACUUUGUUAGAAAGUAACAAUCCCUGGUAAAUCAUUGCCGAAUUCUGUGAAGAGUGUGCUUGUAGCGCGAGGUAAGUGCCCUGAUAUUCCUCUACCAGCUCUGUACGAAUGGCGCUAGAGGUCGACACACGACCGGGUCACCGCUUGCAUGAAAACGGGUCUGUGUUUAAUUGUGCGGCCACCAAACUCAACUGUUAACAAUGGAUAUCUUAGUUGAUGAAGAACGCAGC
rnacentral:misc_RNA from 1 species